GACGAACCGUGCGAACGUUGUUCGGAAUCACUGGGCUUAAAGGGCGCGUAGGCGGCUUCGCAAGUCCGGGGUGAAAGCCCCCAGCUCAACUGGGGAAGUGCCUUGGAUACUGCGGAGCUCGAGGGAGGUAGGGGUCGAGGGAACUUCUGGUGGGGCGGUGAAAUGCGUUGAUAUCAGAAGGAACGCCCGGUGGCGAAAGCGCUCGACUGGACCUCUGGCUGACGCUGAGGCGCGAAAGCCAGGGGAGCAAAGCGGGAUUAAGAUGACCCGUGUAGU
rnacentral:rRNA from 1 species